rnacentral:rRNA from 1 species
AUUGAAUGAUGGAGGCAGGCCGAACACAUGCAAGUCGAGCGGAUGAAGGGAGCUUGCUCCUGGAUUCAGCGGCGGACGGGUGAGUAAUGCCUAGGAAUCUGCCUGGUAGUGGGGGAUAACGUCCGGAAACGGGCGCUAAUACCGCAUACGUCCUGAGGGAGAAAGUGGGGGAUCUUCGGACCUCACGCUAUCAGAUGAGCCUAGGUCGGAUUAGCUAGUUGGUGGGGUAAAGGCCUACCAAGGCGACGAUCCGUAACUGGUCUGAGAGGAUGAUCAGUCACACUGGAACUGAGACACGGUCCAGACUCCUACGGGAGGCAGCAGUGGGGAAUAUUGGACAAAGGGCGAAAGCCUGAUCCAGCCAUGCCGCGUGUGUGAAGAAGGUCUUCGGAUUGUAAAGCACUUUAAGUUGGGAGGAAGGGCAGUAAGUUAAUACCUUGCUGUUUUGACGUUACCAACAGAAUAAGCACCGGCUAACUUCGUG